AGAAAAAUAAGCUAAUUUUAAGCUCUUGGACUCAUAAUCCAAUUAUAGGUAACUCUUUUUUCUA
rnacentral:tRNA from 1 species